AACAAAUAAAAAUAAAAAAAUCGGCUAUUUGCAAAGCAAAAUGUAUGGCAAAUAGUGAAAUAUUCUGUAUCUGAAAUCUUUAUGUUGGGGGAAAAUGUCAGGAAAAUAAUUCUGGUGUAGUAACUGCUAAAGGUAACCAGUCAAACUUUACUCCUGGGGGCAGUUGUGUAAACUUAGCCACCAUGUUAAGACUUUGUCUUAAGAACUAGUUUGACCAAUAGCAGUUGCCAAAUGAUCUUACUUUUUUUUCAAUACAAAUAAGACCAAUACUACCUUUUCAUAACUGAAUUAAAAAGUUGUGAUCAGUCUUGAAGAAGAAAAAAAGUCUAACUUUUUAAAACAAGUCUAAACAGUUAAUGCAACUGGUUGCAGAGUCAUUACUAUAAAGGCCAAUGCACAGCUGCUGUAUUAGUGUCGCGGCCCCUUUAAGGAGCUGCUCCGUCCUGACGCCGGUGACGUGGAGCGCAUGGUUUGUGUGUGAGAGCCUGUGAUGAUGUGCACUGGGUGAAUCUCAUCCGCUGUGAUCCACUACAAAUCUCCAGCGGGACUCAACUUCAUUGACAAGGGGGCUCCAUUCCAAUGGCAUGCCUUCAGUUUAGGCUUGAGUCGUCUGAUCGCGCGGGUUGUUCGGUGCGGAUGUCGGAUCCAGCUCAGGGCCGGUGAUGGUCGCACAUGAAGCCUUAGAGAGCAACAGAGGAUCGGCUGUGAUUUCUGCGCUCCUUCGAGCACUCAACAGACCUGCAACACAAUCAGCUUCAGUGGGUUUGAAUAAACCUCUUCCAGAUGAGCAGCACAAGAUGCCAGCACCUGAACAACUAGGUAAUGAUGUAUGUUUUGCACCACAGAUCACACUUCAGUAGUUCAUGCAUAUAUCUCUACCCUAACAAAACAGCACCACAGGACUGCGAUGUAAUUGUAUUCUAUACAGUAGAUUAAAGUGUAUUUGAAACUAUUUUAAUAAACAACAAAACCAAAUUUAACACAAUUAUUUUAUUUAAAA
rnacentral:lncRNA from 1 species